GAGAGAGAGAGAGGGGGAGAGAAUUGAAGAGUGUUUUGAGAUUGAUGAAGCGUGAAGAAGACCUUUGAAGAAUUUUUUGGUGAUUCUCGAGGAUGAAGAAAGGUUCUGAGGAAGAGCGAGAGAGUUUGUUGUGUUUCAGUUACAGAUGAGAUUAUGGUGAGAAGGAUUCUUGUUAGAGAUUGAAGAUGUGAGGAUUUUGUGAUGAAGAUUUGAAUUUGCAGAGAUGGUGAAUCGAGAGAGAAAGAUGAAGAUUGAAGGUUCUGCGGAAGAUGAGAUGAAGAUCGUUUUGAAGGUUCAUGGAGAAGGUUGGAGAAGCGAUGAAGAUGAUGGAGAUUGGAUCCAAAGUUUGUUACGUUCUCGUUUUUCUGAGUAUGAACUGAAUUGGAAUUCACGGCGAUAUGCUUGGAGUUUACAAGUUGACUCGGCUUGAAGUAAUGUAAAUUGUGGACUGUCGAUUGGAUUGAAUUUUAUUUUAUAAUGUAAAGGAUAAUUGUUUAUUUUUUAAUUUGGCUUUUGUAAUGGAUAUUUAUAUAUGGAUUGGACUUAGAAAUUUGGUUUAUGGGACCUGAAUGUAGAAUAAUGGAGGUCAUUUGGAUUUUGAAUUUUGAAUGGGCUUGACAAAUGGGUUUUUAUCUUGUAUCGAACAUAUUUGAAACUCGAGUCUUGAAA